rnacentral:misc_RNA from 1 species
AACGCACAUUGCGCCCUUUGGUAUUCCGAAGGGCAUGCCUGUUCGAGCGUCAUUUUCACCCCUCAAGCCCCCGGCUUGGUGUUGGAAGGCUGGCCUAGGUCUCCCUAGACCCCUCCUAAAGACAAUGACGGCGGGCUGUUCGACCCCCGGUACACUGAGCGUCUUAACUGAGCACGUACCGGUCCAGGGUUGACAGCACCCGGUCUCCAAACCUAUUCUUUUACAAGGUUGACCUCGGAUCAGGUAGGAAUACCCGCUGAACUUAA